rnacentral:rRNA from 1 species
UACGUAGGGGGCAAGCGUUGUCCGGAUUUAUUGGGCGUAAAGAGCGUGUAGGCGGCCAGACAGGUCCGGUGUGAAAACUCGAGGCUCAACCUCGAGACGCCGAUGGAAACCGUUUGGCUAGAGUCCGGAAGAGGAGAGUGGAAUUCCUGGUGUAGCGGUGAAAUGCGCAGAUAUCAGGAAGAACACCCGUGGCUAAGGCGGCUCUCUGGGCCUGACCUGACGCUGAGGAGCGAAAGCGUGGGGAGCGAACAGG